UACGUAGGCAGCGAGCGUUGUUCGGAGUUACUGGGCGUAAAGAGUGCGUAGGCGGUGCUCCAAGUCUGGUGUGAAAUCUCCCGGCUUAACCGGGAGGGUGCGCCGGAAACUGGGGUGCUGGAGUGUGGGAGAGGUAAGCGGAAUUCCCGGUGUAGCGGUGAAAUGCGUAGAUAUCAGGAGGAACACCUGCGGUGUAGACGGCUUACUGGACCAUCACUGACGCUGAGGCACGAAAGCGUGGGUAGCAAACAGG
rnacentral:rRNA from 1 species